GACGAACGCUGGCGGCGUGCUUAACACAUGCAAGUCGAACGGUGAAGCCCUUCGGGGUGGAUCAGUGGCGAACGGGUGAGUAACACGUGAGCAACCUGCCCCUGGCUCUGGGACAACCACUGGAAACGGUGGCUAAUACCGAAUACGACCCGCCUCGGCAUCGAGUGUGGGUGGAAAGUUUUUCGGCUGGGGAUGGGCUCGCGGCCUAUCAGCUUGUUGGUGAGGUGAAGGCUCACCAAGGCGACGACGGGUAGCCGGCCUGAGAGGGCGACCGGCCACACUGGGACUGAGACACGGCCCAGACUCCUACGGGAGGCAGCAGUGGGGAAUAUUGCACAAUGGGCGAAAGCCUGAUGCAGCGACGCCGCGUGAGGGAUGACGGCCUUCGGGUUGUAAACCUCUUUCAGCUCCGAAGAAGCGAAAGUGACGGUAGGAGCAGAAGAAGCACCGGCUAACUACGUG
rnacentral:rRNA from 1 species